rnacentral:rRNA from 1 species
AUUGAACGCUGGCGGCAGGCCUAACACAUGCAAGUCGAGCGAGUGGCGGACGGGUGAGUAAUGUCUGGGGAUCUGCCUGAUAGAGGGGGAUAACUACUGGAAACGGUGGCUAAUACCGCAUACUAUCUGAUGAACCCAUAUGGGAUUAGCUAGUAGGUGGGGUAAAGGCUCACCUAGGCGACGAUCUCUAGCUGGUCUGAGAGGAUGACCAGCAACACUGGGACUGAGACACGGCCCAGACUCCUACGUGAGGCAGCAGUGGGGAAUAUUGCACAAUGGGCGAAAGCCUGAUGCAGCCAUGCCGCGUGUAUGAAGAAGGCCUUAGGGUUGUAAAGUACUUUCAGCGGGGAGGCGUUACCCGCAGAAGAAGCACCGGCUAACGCCGUGCCAGCAGCCGCGGUAAUUC